UGAGCACAAAGCGAACUAUUCUUUCGCCUUUUACUAAAGAAUACCGUGUGCGCGCUGCAAUUAGUGGCAUACGCCAAUUUUUGGAGGGGUUCUCUAUUUGUGACCCCAACAACUCUAGUCUUAACAUUUUGAAACCAUAAGUUGGAGGAAAUACCCCAAGUUAUGGAGGGGUAAAAUCUGUUUGUGAAUGCUACAAAAAGUGCUAACAAGAAGAAUCUGAUUGAAGAUGAAGAGAAUGUGAGACUGUAAAUACCAAUCAUGAAUAAUGUAUAUUCUAUUGUUCUGCUUUAUUGAUUUUUCCUUUCUUAUUUCGUAGAUUUUAAGCUUGGAUGUGGAUGAAUCUCUAAAGAGUCCUAGUUACAAGAGCAGAAGAAGUCAUGAAGCAAAUCAAAGAAGAAUUUCAGAGCAAAUAUGUGAACUACCUUGGCUGCAAGCCUGCAAAGAUUGAAGAAGUUGCUAUAGGGAUUUCUUGCUUACUAUAAUUUCAAAAUCUGAUUAAUUAUUGGGUCCAGAUUUUGGCAUAUCCAAAGUUGCAUCAGUUGUUCCAUGUUCUCAAAUGCUUGUUUUCCCCUUUGUUUUUCUUUUCAAGUCUUUCACUCAAUUUAUGUCAGUGUAUCCAUUUUUCUAAUGAGCUAUUUCAACACCAUAGUAUUUAGCUUCUUGAUUUAACUUAUCAUUACGUUUUUGAAUGGUGCAAUUUGUGUACUUCCCCUUGUGUCUUCACAUUAUAUUCGGA
rnacentral:lncRNA from 1 species